UACGUAGGGUGCAAGCGUUAAUCGGAAUUACUGGGCGUAAAGCGUGCGCAGGCGGUUUUGUAAGUUUGUCGUGAAAUCCCCGGGCUCAACCUGGGAAUGGCGAUGAAGACUGCAAGGCUAGAAUCUGGCAGAGGGGGGUAGAAUUCCACGUGUAGCAGUGAAAUGCGUAGAGAUGUGGAGGAACACCGAUGGCGAAGGCAGCCCCCUGGGUCAAGA
rnacentral:rRNA from 1 species